GUUGCUUCUUACUGGUGAACUCCCUCUCAAUUUGAAAACAUUGGGGGAUGUUCAAGUUUCCGAAGCAUAAAUUAAUUUCUUUGCCAGUAUUAAACAGCAAUGUGCACUCUUUCAUUUUGCACUUUGUUACCUGUCUCCUGGCAAAUUU
rfam:Morus notabilis contig14202, whole genome shotgun sequence.